AUGGAGUCCAGGCUGCUUGGUCGAAGAGGCCGUCUGCAGAAACCAGGAGAACCGCCGCUGCUGUCGUCCAACUCGUUCUCCAGACUGUCGUAGGACGAAUCGGUCAGAGGGUAAACCCAGGACUCUGCAAGCACAAGAAGGAUCUGCUCACAGUGAUCAAUCAUGAACCUGAUCAGCUCACACACCUGCAACGCAAGAGAGAAAAUAAAAACUUUGAAUCCAACAAAGAA